AUGUUGAAUAUGGUGUUGUUUCUCUCCAUAGCAUCCAUAGUCCCCAUUAUUAGUGGGCUACUGCUCCUCUUGCUGCUGCGCGUUCCUUGUCUAGUCUGGAGGAAGAUAAGCAACAGAGAACAGACAAUGAUAAACCCAAGAGAAACGAGUGAGGAAAAUGAUGAAGAGGACGAUGUCAACGCAGAAGCCUUUGUCAACAAGAGCAAAGAUGAAGACUUGAAAAAAGGAUGCCGUGCAGGAAUGAAUGCUCCAGGAGCCAUGAACACGUGUGGAAACAACCAGAGGAAGGACCGGAGGCAGGUGAGGAAGAUGAGGACGUCUAUGAAAAUCCAAAUACCUUCACAUGGAUGGAUGAUGCUGAAGACAUGUACGAUGAAGACAACUUACUCUUUAGACCAGGAGCAGAAGAUGACAACAUAUAUGCAAACUAUGAGUGAAGGCCUUGUAAUAGGCAUGUUGAUGCAGAGAUAUUGAUAACAUGAGAGGCUUGAAAGGUUAGCUUUGUAAGUUGAAUUAUAAGGGCCUAAAAGAACAACUUUUUCAUUAGUAGAUAAGAGUAAAGGCUUUGUUCGAAUUUGAAUUUCAAUGUGCAUUUUUUGUGUAUGUGAUUUCCAGUUGUAUUCUUGCCGGUAAUUAUAUGCGUUUUCUGACUUGACUAACACAUCCAUUUAUCUUUUUUUGUUAUCUUUUUUAAUACAUAUUAUUUACUUGAGAUUCAAAAGAGUGAUUUUUCUUGAUGCAUUGGCUGAACAUAAUGUUUGUUUUUAAAAUGUUCCACCUUAAAAAAAUAUAUAUUAAUGCUUUAGACUAAUUCUUCUAUAAUAUUCAGUGUGCUGUCAAAUAAUAAUCCAGGUAGAACUCUUUUGGGUUCCUUGUAGAAUCAUCUGUGUAAAGGGUUCUACAUGGAACCAAAAAGGGUUCUUCAAAGGGUUCUCCUAUGGGGAUAUAGGAGAACUCAAGGUUCUAGAUAAAAAAUUGCUUUCUGGCAAAAUGAAAAUACAUUUGUACUGUAUGUAUAAAAUCUAUUUCAGUGUACAUUUUUGAUUACUGUGUGUGUGUGGCUUUAAAGAACAUGAAAUUCAAGCUUCAAAGUUCUACGGAAAUGGUUUUGAAAAUAUGUGGAGAUUUAAAUACUGUACAACUGUAUGGUCAACAUUUAGAAAUAGAUCUCUGGAUGCAAGAGGCCCAAACUGACCCUGACCAACAACUCUAAUUUUGAAGAAACCUAUAAAGCAGAGGAUGUGAUUAAUGCAGGUCUUAUUAUAUCCACUAGGGAGAAAUGUUGUCACAUCGUUCAUUAUGUCAAACACACUACAUACUGUGCGAUCUCUCUCUCUCUCCCUCUCUCUCCCCCUCACACACACACACACACACACAGGGGUCCUCCAAAUUAGCAACCAAGUCAUCGGUGCGGUGCCCGACAUGCAGCAGCGAGACAGCCUCCGAGCGAAACCCAUUCUUGACUGGUGUUGACAUUUAUUCACUUAUUGAGGCUUUACUUCUCCAGCCUGGCUGACACACUGUCUGGAGCACAAGCUGCUUUACUAGGUUGAGAGAGAACAGCAGACAUGAAGAAACGAAGGCUGCCUAAAGACAAUAAUCCCAACUGGAGCCACUACAGAGAGACAACCAUAUUGCUCUUCCAUACUGUUUGCCAGGGACAAUAAUUCGUCCUUGGCAUUUUAUCCACACCAGCGCCGACUACUGUUCGCGCCGCCAACUCACCCCGGAGUGGUGCCCAAACCCUAUCAGCCACUGCCCAGACAAAAUCACAAACCUACAUCUACACCAGGCUUCAGCCUUCUGUAUGACAUUCAGCAUCCACUCCAAGUUAGACUUAGACACAGUCAGAAGUGCUGACACACAACAUUGGCAGCACAGUACAGCAUUUCUGUACCAGUGACUGGCGAGACAUGGUUCUCCUCCUCUUUUUUAACAAGCUCAUAUUUAAAGCAAAUACAAUAUGUAAAAGCCCCACUGGAGAUAGAACGCACAACUAUAACUGUGCCUCUGCACUAGCCGUUUUGUUUGCCUCCUUGUUAUGCUGUCUGUCUCAGCAUCUUGUCUGCUGUCACUCGAUGCUAUUUCUUGUUCUGUGUCUGCCUGUCUGCUUAAACCUUAUACGUAUCUAUUCAAUCAGAUCCGCUUUAGCCAACAUCCUCAUAGCUGUUGUUUUGGCGGUGUUGGGGGUGGUACUGUGUUAGAGCUGUCAAAUCCACAAGCGGCUCCUGGUAUUAUACCUAAAGUGGACAUUGCCAUUGGCUGCACAGAGUCGCAUUAAGAGAAAUCCCAUGUGUACAAUUUAGAACACUGGAAUCUGAGAUGUAAAUUUACACUUUGAAAAAGCUGAUACAUUAUUUUGCUGAAUGAUUAUGUAUUUGAGCAAAAUUAUUUAUAUAUAGCCUACACUUUCUCGUUCUGAACUUCAAAUGCGAGUGGGAAGGGUGUGGCUUUGUGACAAUAAUCAAGAGCAGCUGCUCCCCGAUUUGACAGCUGCAGCACUUACACCUCCGACACCGACAAAACAUCAGCUAUGAGGCCAUCACCAGUUAACACUAUCUGAUUGAAUCUGGACCUUAGGCUAUAUUGCAAAUGAGUGCACAUCAUAUGUGUUCACCUGAAUCAACACCUAUCCUAAGUGUUAAUUACUAUUACAGGCCUCCAGACUAUCAUUUUCCACUGAUGUCACUGGUGCCACUUACUUUUACAGUUGGUGGCACCAGCCCGUGAUUUGGGUCUGACCAAAUCAUAAGUAAUUCUCUUAUAAGGUAAUUCAUAGACUACUGAGGUAUUCAUGAAAUAAGUGGUUUCAUCUAACACAUCCAAGUAGGAAUACAAGUUUCAAGAUAUUUUGAUGUGCAACAUAACCCAGUGAUUGCCAUGAUUUGUGAGUUCA
rnacentral:lncRNA from 8 species